GGUACGGGUAGGACACGUGAGAAUCUGCCUCACUUGGGAUACUCGGAACCGGGGCUAUUACGAUUAUGAAUUAUAGUGGCUUCCUGAUUUGGAAGAUUUUGGGUGGAGGAUGACUUCGCGGCCUAUCAGCUAGUUGGUGAAGGUACGGUUCACCAAGGCAACGAACGGUAGCCGGCCUGAGAGGGCGACGGCCACACUGGGACUGAGACACGGCCCAGACUCCUACGGGAGGCAGCAGUGGGGAAUAUUGGGCAAUGGACGCAAGUCUGACCCAGCGACGCCGCGUGCGGGAUGAAGGCCUUCGGGUUGUAAACCGCUUUCAGUAGGGAAGAAGCGAAAGUGACGGUACCUACAAAAGAAGCACCGGCUAACUAUGUGCCAGCAGCCGCGGUAAUACAUAGGGUGCAAGCGUUGUCCGGAAUUAUUGGGCGUAAAGAGCUCGUAGGUUGUUCGUUACGUCGGAUGUGAAAAUCUGAGGCUCAACCUCAGACCUGCAUUCGAUACGGGCGAACUGGAGUGUGGUAGGGGAGACUGGAAUUCCUGGUGUAGCGGUGGAAUGCGCAGAUAUCAGGAGGAACACCAAUGGCGAAGGCAGGUCUCUGGGCCAUUACUGACACUGAGGAGCGAAAGUCUGGGGAGCGAACAGGAUUAGAUACCCUGGUAGUCCAGACCGUAAACGGUGGGCGCUAGUUGUGGGAACCUUCCACGGUUUCUGCGACGUAGCUAACGCAUUAAGCGCCCCGCCUGGGGAGUACGAUCGCAAGAUUAAAACUCAAAGGAAUUGACGGGGCCCCGCACAAGCAGCGGAGCAUGCGGCUUAAUUCGACGCAACGCGAAGAACCUUACCAAGGCUUGACAUAUAGGGAAAAGCAAUAGAGAUAUUGUGUCCGCAAGGGCCCUAUACAGGUGGUGCAUGGUUGUCGUCAGCUCGUGUCGUGAGAUGUUGGGUUAAGUCCCGCAACGAGCGCAACCCUCGUCCUGUGUUGCCAGCAUUUAGUUGGGGACUCACAGGAGACUGCCGGGGUUAACUCGGAGGAAGGUGGGGAUGACGUCAAAUCAUCAUGCCCCUUAUGUCUUGGGCUGCACGCAUGCUACAAUGGCCGGUACAAAGGGCUGCGAAACCGUAAGGUUUAGCGAAUCCCAAAAGCCGGUCUCAGUUCGGAUUGAGGUCUUACAC
rnacentral:rRNA from 1 species